rnacentral:rRNA from 1 species
CUACGGGGUGCAGCAGUGGGGAAUAUUGGACAAUGGGGGAAACCCUGAUCCAGCAAUGCCGCGUGUGUGAAGAAGGCCUGCGGGUUGUAAAGCACUUUCGGUUGGGAGGACUGCUUCUAGCACUAAUAUUGUUGGAAGUUGACGUUACCUUCAGAAGAAGCACCGGCUAACUCCGUGCCAGCAGCCGCGGUAAUAGCGGAGGGUGCAAGCAUUAAUCGGAAUUACUGGGCGUAAAGCGCGCGUAGGCGGCUAGAUCAGUCGGGUGUGAAAGCCCCGGGCUUAACCUGGGAACUGCAUCCGAUACUGUCUAGCUUGAGUACAGGAGAGGAGAGUGGAAUUCCACAUGUAGCGGUGAAAUGCGUAGAUAUGUGGAGGAACACCAAUGGCGAAGGCAGCUCUCUGGCCUGAUACUGACGCUGAGGUGCGAAAGCGUGGGGAGCAAACAGGAUUAGAUACCCGAGUAGUC